rnacentral:tRNA from 1 species
ACCUUUAAAGUUAAAAACAUUAGAUUGCAAAUCUAAAAAUAAUAAAGGUA